rnacentral:rRNA from 1 species
AUUGAACGCUGGCGGCAUGCUUUACACAUGCAAGUCGAACGGUAACAGGCCUUCGGGUGCUGACGAGUGGCGAACGGGUGAGUAAUGCAUCGGAACGUGCCCAAUCGUGGGGGAUAACGUAGCGAAAGUUACGCUAAUACCGCAUAAGCCCUGAGGGGGAAAGCAGGGGAUCGCAAGACCUUGCGCUGAUUGAGCGGCCGAUAUCAGAUUAGCUAGUUGGUGAGGUAAAGGCUCACCAAGGCGACGAUCUGUAGCGGGUCUGAGAGGAUGAUCCGCCACACUGGAACUGAGACACGGUCCAGACUCCUACGGGAGGCAGCAGUGGGGAAUUUUGGACAAUGGGCGCAAGCCUGAUCCAGCCAUGCCGCGUGAGUGAAGAAGG